rnacentral:rRNA from 1 species
GAUGAACGCUAGCUACAGGCUUAACACAUGCAAGUCGAGGGGAAACGACAUCGAAAGCUUGCUUUUGAUGGGCGUCGACCGGCGCACGGGUGAGUAACGCGUAUCCAACCUGCCCACCACUUGGGGAUAACCUUGCGAAAGUAAGACUAAUACCCAAUGAUAUCUCUAGAAGACAUCUGAAAGAGAUUAAAGAUUUAUCGGUGAUGGAUGGGGAUGCGUCUGAUUAGAUUGUUGGCGGGGUAACGGCCCACCAAGGCUACGAUCAGUAGGGGUGCUGAGGGGAAGAACCCCCACAUUGGAACUGAUACGCGGUCCAACCUCCAACGGGAGGCAGCAGUGAGGAAUAUUGGUGAAUGGGCGAGAGCCUGUACCAGCCAAGUAGCGUGCAGGAUGACGGCCGUAUGGGUUGUAAACUGCUUUUAUAAGGGAAUAAAGUGAGCCUCGUGAGGCUUUUUGCAUGUACCUUAUGAAUAAGGACCGGCUAAUUCCGUGCCAGCCGCCGCCGUAA